rnacentral:rRNA from 1 species
UAGUGGCGCAAGGGUGAGUAAUACGUGGGUAAUCUACCUUCGAGUUUGGAAUAACAAUUAGAAAUGAUUGCUAAUGCCGAAUUAUAUAUUUUAUGAUACGUCAUUUAAUAUUAAAAGGAGCCUUUAAAGCUUCGCUUGAAGAUGAGCCCACGCCGUAUUAGCUAGUUGGUGGGGUAAUGGCCUACCAAGGCAACGAUGCGUAGCCGACCUGAGAGGGUGAUCGGCCACACUGGGACUGAGACACGGCCCAGACUCCUACGGGAGACAGCAGUUAGGAAUAUUCGUCAAUGGGGGAAACCCUGAACGAGCAAUGCCGCGUGAAGGAUGACGGUCCUAUGGAUUGUAAACUUCUGUUGUUAGGGAAGAACGGCCUAUGUAGGAAAUGACAUAGGAGUGACGGUACCUUUCAAGAAAGCUCCGGCUAACUACGUGCCAGCAGCCGCGGUAAUACGUAGGGAGCAAGCGUUAUCCGGAUUUAUUGGGUGUAAAGGGUGCGUAGGCGGUUUAAUAGGUCUGUGGUCUAAGUCCGAAGCUUAACUUCGGUUCGCCAUAGAAACCGUUAAACUUGAGUAUGGUAGAGGCAAGUGGAAUUUCUAGUGUAGCGGUAAAAUGCGUAGAUAUUAGAAGGAACACCAGUGGCGAAGGCGACUUGCUGGGCCAUUACUGACGCUGAGGCACGAAAGCGUGGGGAAAAGAUAGGAUUAGAUACCCUAGUAGUCCACGCCGCCUAGUUGGGUACUAAGUGUCAGAAUUAUUCGGUGCUGAAGUUAACACAUUAAGUAUUCCACCUGAGUAGUACGGGUCGCAAGGCUGAUACUCAAAGGAAUUGACGGGCACCCGCACAAGCGGUGGAGCAUGCUGUUUAAUUCGAAGAUACGCGAAGAACCUUACCUGGGCUUGACAUCCCACUGACCGUCUUAGAAAUAAGAUUUUCUCUUCGGAGACAGUGGUGACAGGUGGUGCAUGGUUGUCGUCAGCUCGUGUCGUGAGAUGUUCGGUUAAGUCCGAUAACGAGCGCAACCCUUGUCCUUAAUUACUAACAUUUAGUUGAGAACCUUAAGGAGACUGCCGAUGAUAAAUCGGAGGAAGAUGGGGAUGACGUCAAAUCAUCAUGCCCCUUACGUCCAGGGCUACAGGCGUGCUACAAUGGCAGGUAUAAUAAGACGCAAUACCGUGAGGUGGAGCAAAUCUCUAAAGCCUGUCCCAGUCCGGAUUGGAGUCUGCAACUCGACUCCAUGAAGUUGGAAUCGCUAGUAAUCCCGAAUCAGAAUGUCGGGGUGAAUACGUUCCCGGGUGUUGUACACACCGCCCGUCACGCCAUGGGAGUCGGUAAUACCCGAAGUUGGUAGCCUAACC